rnacentral:tRNA from 1 species
AGGGGAAUCGCCAAGUGGUAAGGCAGCGGCCUUGAAGCCGCGAGCGGUGGUUCGAUUCCAUCUUCCCCUA